rnacentral:rRNA from 1 species
GGAUUCCUUAGUAAUUGCGAAUGAACAAAGAAAUGCUCAGCUUGAAAAAUGGGGCCUUUGGCUUUGAAUUGUAAUUUUGAAAUGUAUUGCCAAUGGAGGCGCAGGUGCAAGCCUAUUGAAAGAAAGCGUCAAUGAGGGUGAGAUUCCUUUUUGUCAUUUGCAGUCCUCCGUGCACGGUAUAUAUUUGACGAGUCACACUCCUCGGCAUUGGAAUGCAAAGUGGGUGGUAAAUUCCAUGUAAAGGUAAAUAUAUUAUUGAGACUGAUAGCAAACAAGUACCAUGAGGGAAAUAUGAAAAGGACUUUGAAAAGAGAAUUAAAAGAGUCUGCAUUUGCUGAACAGAAAGCAAACAGAAUUGAUUUUACUUGGUGAGAUUGUUGUGCUUACUCUAUCAUUUAUAUGGUUGAUGUGGGUGCGAUGGUUCUUACCUUGAAUGUCAGCUUCUAUUUCUGCAAAUCAUUACCCUUGCACAUGAAUGGUAAUUUGCCUGCGGGUAUUGGAAUGCAUGUGUUUGCAAUGAUUUGUGAUUUGACGCAUGUGUUUGGUGAAAUUUGUAUAUGCUCUUUUGUCGAAGGGGAAAGCUUACUUUUUUGAGCAUUGCAAGCCCUUACACAUCAGUGCUGGCAAAAUGUUUCUGCUUGACCCGUCUUGAAACACGGACCAAGGAGUCUAACAGAUGUGCAAGUUCGUGGGUGGCAAACCUUUUUGCGCAAUGAAAGUAUUGGCUGGGAUACUUGCACCAGCAGCCGACCAAUUAGCAGACAGAGGUUUGAGUUUGAGCAUAUCUAUUAGGACCCGAAAGAUGGUGAACUAUGCCUGAACAGAAUGAAUUCAGAGGAAACUCUGAUGGAGGUUCGUAUCGAUACUGACGUGCAAAUCGUUCGUCAUACUUGGGUAUAGGGGCGAAAGACUAAUCGAACCAUCUAGUAGCUGGUUCCCUCCGAAGUUUCCCUCAGGAUAGCUGGAGUUGCACAGUUUUAUCAGGUAAAGCGAAUGAUUAGAGGAAUUGGGGACACGCUGUCCUUGACCUAUUCUCAAACUUUAAAUGGGUAAGAUGCAAUGGUUGCUUUAUUGAACUUUUGGAAUAAAUGGCAAUAUCAGGUGGGCCAUUUUUGGUAAGCAGAACUGGCGAUGAGGGAUGAACCUAACGUUGGGUUAAGGUGCUUAAUUGCUUGCUCAUUAGAUACCAGAAAGGGUGUUGGUUCAUUUUAACAGCAGGACGGUGGUCAUGGAAGUCGAAAUCCGCUAAGGAGUGUGUAACAACUCACCUGCCGAAUGGACUAGCCCCGAAAAUGGAUGGCGCUCAAGCGGGUGACCGAUACCCAACCACUGUUGCAAAUAGUGUCAGUGUGUAGGAGGGCAUGGCGGUUUG